ensembl:lncRNA
CUGUAAUAGACUUUGGGGCUCAUGGGCCCAUGGACUCCGUGAAAGUGGGAUGAAGAUCGCAAGAUGGCCAUUAAUGACUGAAGUCAAAGACUUCUAACAUGUCAGGGUAGUGCAAGCUUGUUUUACUCCAUUCAGGCUGUCUGGCUCUCUGGCUGUCUCUGUUCUAAAUGCCCUCUGUGUACUGGUAUUGUCAUUCUGUCUUUAGGCUAUGUUAGGGGAGUGGGCCUAUGCAUGAUGUGAACUGGCUGCAUUGUACUUUUGCCAAAUCAUUCCUCUGACCAAAACAUGAUGAUCAUAUAGUGGGAUGUUGUACAAUCAUAAACAUUCACUGAUGAGUUUAUCACAGACUUGGGCAUGUGCACCAUGCACUUUUGGACUAAAACAGAUACAUCAAAUCAAUGUUUUCUCUGCACCAAUUUUUAGGUGAAAAGGUGAAAGGAUUUUCAUUUAUAAAAAAAAUAAUAAUAAUCUUUGGGCAAAAAAAAAAAAAACUUUGUUAGGUUAGCAAAUGCUGUUAUGCUAUUUUUUCAUAACACUAGCUAAGCUUUACGUUUUACGCACCUAAUCGCACUUACUCUUAACAGUAGCUCUAUUUAUAAUGAUGACUUUAGUUGUCAAGGCACAAAUUGCCUCUCUGAGGACUUUAAAGUUUUCUAAGUCUAAGUCUAAGGUAACAAGCCAUUGCUCAAUUUGUCUUUUAUUGAUAUUUUUUGCUAAGUUACUGUGUCCCUUAUCUUUCUGUUUUUGUAUAUUAUAGAGAAUCCAGAUACAGCAGGACAGGAUGAUUUGUGAAAACAGGAAGAAAGUGUGGUCAAUAUUGCGAAAUAAAAGACCCGCCGAAUUGUCUGGACUCCGCCCUUCAGUGACUGCUGCCUCGCGAAGCGACAACGCCAUCUUUUCUUCGAGCGACCGAGACGUUGGUCGUCCUCUCGCCUCUGUUCCCUCCUCGGCCUGGGGUUACUGCGAAUCUGGCGCUGAAGACUGAAGCUGCUAACGUUAUAUUCGAAGCCUCAGAAGACCUUCAAGGAUCCAGUUGACCUCUGAAUCAGCUGUUAAGAAAAUGGGACAGUUAUAUUGCUUCAAUUGGUCUCCUACUUCAUUUGAUUCCACCUUCAUUACAAGGCUGCAAGGGAUCUGGAAAAAUGUCAUCCUGUCAAGCUGAAAAACAUCUUCAAAAAGGCACUAACAAGAACAGCUUGAUUGCAGAGAAGAGACCACACAGCCAUACACGCUCACUGAUGGGACGAUGAGGAACAUCAUUCAUGGAUGCUACACAACUCAAAUCUACACGUCAUAUUUGUUCAUGUCUAGGUAAAUUUGAUGAUUUUGUGUUUUAUUAAUUACUUUGUUUCUGUGCAACACUUAAUGAAUGUGACUGACUAAUUAACCUCUACACAUCUGGUAUAUGCUUUAAAGUUGCCACUUUGCCCAUUUGUUCAAUAAAUGUUGAAAUGUAUACAUCUGUCUGAAGACUUUCCUGAUUUUAUGUCUAUCCUUUUACAUUAACUUUAUUUUUAUCAUAAUUAACAUUAUUUUUUUUGUUUGCACUGAAAAGAGGACAUUAUUAAUUAUGCUUAAAACAACAGCAGAGGUGUUAAAUACCCCAUAGUGUAAAAUUUGAACAGCAAUAGCAUGUGUAACACUUUACACUUGGAGUGUAAUUUUUCUAGACAUUGUUUAAAAUGAAAUGUAAAAUGUGAAAAUGAAAAGGAUUUAAUUAAAUUCUGAUUUUAAUUCAGUGUGUGUUAUAUAUAUAUAUAUAUAUAUAUAUAUAUACCUUUAGAAAUAACUGCAAAUUACAAGCUAAAUACAAAACUUAGUUCUAGAAUUUGCAUUCAGAGAUAGUUUGAC